AUUGAACGCUGGCGGCAGGCCUAACACAUGCAAGUCGAGCGGAUUGUUGUAGCUUGCUACAACAGUUAGCGGCGGACGGGUGAGUAACGCGUAGGAAUCUACCUAGUAGUGGGGGAUAACGUUUCGAAAGGAACGCUAAUACCGCAUACGACCUAAGGGUGAAAGGGGGGGAUCUUCGGACCUCUCGCUAUUAGAUGAGCCUGCGUAGGAUUAGCUAGUUGGUAGGGUAAAGGCCUACCAAGGCGACGAUCCUUAACUGGUCUGAGAGGAUGAUCAGUCACACUGGAACUGAGACACGGUCCAGACUCCUACGGGAGGCAGCAGUGGGGAAUAUUGGACAAUGGGGGCAACCCUGAUCCAGCCAUGCCGCGUGUGUGAAGAAGGCCUUCGGGUUGUAAAGCACUUUCGGUCAGAAAGAAGGGGGCGUAGUUAAUAACUGCGUUCCUUGACGGUACUGACAUAAGAAGCACCGGCUAACUCCGUGCCAGCCGCCGCGGUAAGAC
rnacentral:rRNA from 1 species